rnacentral:rRNA from 1 species
CCUACGGGUGGCAGCAGUGAGGAAUAUUGGUCAAUGGGCGCGAGCCUGAAGCAGCCACGUAGCGUGAAGGAUGACUGCCCUACGGGUUGUAAACUUCUUUUAUAAAGGAGUAAAGUGCGGCACGUGUGCCUUUUUGUAUGUACUUUAUGAAUAAGGAUCGGCUAACUACGCGCAAGCAGCCGCGGUAAUACGGAGGUUCCGAGCGUUAUCCGGAUUUAGUGGGUGUAAAGGGAGCGUAGAUGGGUUGUUAAGUCAGUUGUGAAAGUUUGCGGCGCAACCGUAAAACUGCAAUUGAUACUGGCAGCCGUGAGUGCAGUGGAGGUAGGCGGAAUUCGUGGUGUAGCGGGGAAAUG